GCUGACGAGCGGCGGACGGGUGAGUAAUGCAUAGGAAUCUGCCCGAUAGUGGGGGAUAACCUGGGGAAACCCAGGCUAAUACCGCAUACGUCCUACGGGAGAAAGGGGGCUCCGGCUCCCGCUAUGGGAUGAGCCUAUGUCGGAUUAGCUAGUUGGUGAGGUAACGGCUCACCAAGGCCACGAUCCGUAGCUGGUCUGAGAGGAUGAUCAGCCACAUCGGGACUGAGACACGGCCCGAACUCCUACGGGAGGCAGCAGUGGGGAAUAUUGGACAAUGGGGGAAACCCUGAUCCAGCCAUGCCGCGUGUGUGAAGAAGGCCCUCGGGUUGUAAAGCACUUUCAGCGAGGAAGAACGCCUAGCGGUUAAUACCCGCUAGGAAAGACAUCACUCGCAGAAGAAGCACCGGCUAACUCCGUGCCAGCAGCCGCGGUAAUACGGAGGGUGCAAGCGUUAAUCGGAAUUACUGGGCGUAAAGCGCGCGUAGGUGGCUUGAUAAGCCGGUUGUGAAAGCCCCGGGCUCAACCUGGGAACGGCAUCCGGAACUGUCAAGCUAGAGUGCAGGAGAGGAAGGUAGAAUUCCCGGUGUAGCGGUGAAAUGCGUAGAGAUCGGGAGGAAUACCAGUGGCGAAGGCGGCCUUCUGGACUGACACUGACACUGAGGUGCGAAAGCGUGGGUAGCAAACAGGAUUAGAUACCCUGGUAGUCCACGCCGUA
rnacentral:rRNA from 1 species